GACGAACGCUGGCGGCGUGCUUAACACAUGCAAGUCGAACGAUGAAGCCGGAGCUUGCUCCGGUGGAUUAGUGGCGAACGGGUGAGUAACACGUGAGCAAUCUGCCCUUGACUCCGGGAUAACUGCGGGAAACUGUAGCUAAUACCGGAUACGACACCUUGGGGCAUUCCAGGGUGUGGAAAGAAUUUCGGUCAAGGAUGAGCUCGCGGCCUAUCAGCGAGUUGGUGAGGUAAUGGCUCACCAAGGCGACGACGGGUAGCCGGCCUGAGAGGGUGACCGGCCACACUGGAACUGUGACACGGUCCAGACUCCUACGGGAGGCAGCAGUGGGGAAUAUUGCGCAAUGGGCGAAAGCCUGAUGCAGCAACGCCGCGUGAGGGAUGAAGGCCUUCGGGUUGUAAACCUCUUUUAGCAGGGAAGAAGCGAAAGUGACGGUACCUGCAGAAAAAGCACCGGCUAACUACGUGCCAGCAGCCGCGGUAA
rnacentral:rRNA from 1 species